AACAACAUUGUAUUGUAUAAUCCAUAGAUCCCAUUUAAACCAAUCUAAAAGGUUAAACGGUGGAUAUGAUUUACUUAGCAAGGAGACAACGCAGUAAGAACUUUCAGAAACAACAAAACGAUAAAAAAAAAUAAAAAAUCAGGAUAACAAAUAAUCUUUGUUUGGUCUAAAACGAAAUGAAUUUUU
rnacentral:sRNA from 1 species